CGGGAGGCCGGCGAGCCUAUGGCCGGGCCGCUGCUCCGGAGCGGGGUGCGCCGGUUCCCCUGGCUCUGCAACGUGCUGCUCUACGGCAGCCUCUUCUCGGCCGGGGACGCGGCUCAGCAGCUGCUGCGGCGGCGCCCGGGGCAGGAGCCCGACUGGGCGCAGACCCGGCACGUGGCGCUGGUGGCCCUCAGCUUCCAUGGCAACUUCAACUACGUGUGGCUGCGGGGGCUGGAGCGGGCGCUGCCCGGCCGCGCGCCCGGCGCGGUGCUGGCCAAGGUGCUGUGCGACCAGCUGCUGGGGGCGCCUGUCGCCAUCCUGGCCUUCUACACGGCAGGCAUGAGUAUACUUCAGGGGAAAGAGAACAUUUUUUCUGACUGUAAAAAGAAAUUCUGGAAUACAUAUAAGACUGGGCUGAUGUACUGGCCUUUUGUGCAGCUUUCAAACUUUGUUCUGGUCCCUGUUUACCUGAGAACAGCUUACACUGGGCUCUGUGGCUUUCUCUGGGCUAUCUUCAUUUGCUUUUCACAACAGAGCGGUGAUGGCACAGCAAAGUCGGCUUUUCUGUGGUUCCAAAGAGAAAAGUGAUGAACUGCAUUCAUUUAGAAGAAAGGAGCUUGGGAGGAGUGCCACUGCAGGGAAAGUAAGGGAAAUUGACAAGGAUUUCAAGAAAGAGUAUACACAAUCCCUAUGUGAUCUGCAAUAAGAUGUGGAAAGCAUUCCAUUGGUGAUCGUUUUUGAACUUUUACCAAUAAACGUGACAGCUAUCAGGAUUGCAAAUAAUAAGAAAUAAGGUUCAGUUUGAUAUCAGAUUACUAAUCCCUCCUACAGAGUUGAAAGACAACACCAUCAGUUAUUUUCUGUUCCCUGUUUCUUUACCUUGUCAGCAUGCACAAAAUGAAAAGAAUAUAGUUUUUGGAGAAAAAAUGAUGACUGAGAUUUAGUGUUGCUUUGCUGUGUGCUGUAACAAUAUGCCUUGAAGCAGAUGCAGUUCAUUAGUGGAUGAAAUGAUUCAUAUAUAGUUAUAAUUGUUAGUAAAAUUGGUAAUGAGUGGAACACCCCUCUUAUUUUUAAAGCUUUGGAUGUUUAUACAAGCUGUGCAUUAGUGCUGUAUACUUUUCUGAUGCUAGUUAUUCAGGAACGUGGCUUAAAUAGGAUUUUUGUCUGCGUAAGGACUUCAGGAUUUAUCUCCAUGUUUCUUCUGUUUGCAGUAUAUAGAAAGGUAGUUCUUUGUUCCUUUGCUCUUUUGUGUAAUCACACUGGAGCAUGUAGUUCUCAUGUUUCAGUAAACUUAAGAAUCUAAGUAAUCCUUUUACUCCCUCCAUUUCUCUUGAAAAGUUGCUAAGGGCUACAUAAGUAAACUAAUCUCUCUUCCUGUUCUAAAACCUCUUUGUAAUCACAAGCUUUGGCAGUUAGUAGGAAUGUUUCAGGGGUGGGAGAAGCAAAAAUGUGGCUAUCUUGGGCCAGAUCCUCAGGUGGUGUAAAUUGGCAUAGCUCCUCUGAAGUUUUUGGAACUCUGUCAGUAUACACCAUCUGAAGAUCUGGCUCCUUACUUUUUGGACAUACUAUAAUUUCUUACCACUUUAUAGAUUAGGAGACUCUAAUAUGACUUUUCCUACAUAUGCAGGGCUAAUGAGUUGGUGAUACAGUACUUACCAACAAGGACAUCCAAAGUAGCAAACCGUGGACAAGCAGCUGGCAGGUUUGCCCUCAUGCCUGUUUGGAUGCGUGUUUCAUAGGUGGUCCCAGAGAGUCCACCUAAAGGAGCUGUAAUAGACUUAAUGCCAAGUGAACACUGCACAAAAUUCACCAAAAAGUAUGGCUAGAUAUAAGAAGUCAAGGUGGAACUCAGCAAACAGAGGGAACUCUCUGCCAUCAGCUAUCAGGCAUGUAUUCACAUGACACCUGCAUUUCAUGGGAUUGUUUCUAAGAUCAAAUGAGUAGUGAAGGCAAAUUCUGACCAAGUGUGACAGCAACUUGGUUUUAUUCAAUGUAGCUGUGUAGCUUAUACAGGGUCUGAAUUUGGCCAAGUGAGAAUUUGAAAGUCUGUUCCAAUUACACUAAUUUUAAAAAAAUGUACUGCCCUAGAUCAUUUUGAUAUCUGAGUCACAUUCUGCUAGGAGUUCAGGUUGGUAUCUAGAAAAAGCCCAGAAGAAGGUCUGAGUUUUUCCUGCCCUGGAAAGCAGCAGCCACUGACAUUGCCCAGAAUCUUAGGUUUCACAAUAUGGUACAUGAGAAGCUGCUUGGCUCACAUAUGUACCAUGCUAAUGAGCACCAUCUAAGUAUGUAUAGCAUAUUAAUAAUAAUAUUGAUGCCACAUUUGCGACCUAGAAAGCUUCUGACGUCCCAUUUUCUCCUGGUAUAGCCAAUGCUCGCUUUAUGGCAAUGGGAAAAGGAGUACAAGGAAUAUACAUAUAUUAGGGUAGGAAACAUCCAUUUUAAUUUUACUUGGAAAAUGGUUGUAUUUUUGCAGAGAAUCAGUAAACAGUAAAAGUCAUUAUUUGGACGUGACUAUCUUUAAUGGUGUGUGUAUAAACCCAUGUUUUUGUGAAAAGUUCCAUGGGAUCAUCGUGGACCAUAAGCAGUGAAGACCUUAGUUUUAUGUCACACCCAGAAGAUGGCACCUCCUACUGCAAGGUCCUUAUCACAAGGAGCACGUUAUGGAAUUACUAGGAUCAGGAUUAUUAACCCCAUUUUACAGGUUAAAACAGAAGAGGAAACUCUUUGGGACUUUAGAUGUCUUUUUAGGGUGAAGAGAAAGUGGUGCAAUCAGACUUAGGGAACUCCCUGCUGGAAAUAUAUGAAUUGAUGGAUUAGCAGCAGCUCUGGAGAAAAUUCUUUCAAACUUUUCAGAGAUUCAGCAAUUCCAAGGCCAGAAGGGGCCACUGUGAGCAUUUAGUCUGUCCUUCUGUACAACAUAGCCUAUAGAACUUCCCCAAAAUAAUUCCUAGAGUAGUGGUUCUCAACCUGUGGUCCACAGACCAUGUCUAAGGGGUCAGCAAAAGACUAAGACUGAAAACUGACUGAAAAAAAUUCAAUUAUAUAUACAGACAAUAGAUUUCCUAAAGGUCCGCACCUCCAUUCAAAAAUUUUUAGGGGUCUGCAAAUGAAAAAAGGUUGAGAACCACUUCUAGAGCAUAUCUUUUAGAAAAACAUUCAAUCUUGAUAUAAAAAUUUCCUGUGAUGGAGAAUCCACCACGACCCUUAGUAAAUUGUUCCAAUGGUUAAUUACCCUCAGUGUUAAAAAUGUAUAACUUAUUUGACUUAUGGUGAGAAAAAUCAAGAGUCUCAAAUGAAGACAAAAACCAAGAGAGAAAACUCAUUGCAUUUCUUCAUGCUGAAAAUGGGUCAAUAAUGUACAAGAGACCAGUAUGAGAGGCUGUAUCAAAUACAGUGGAGUCUUUUUUUAGUGAACUCACAUAUAGUGAAAACACCUUUCUAGGGAAGCAGAAUGGAAGAUCAAAAUGGCCUCCCAUUGUAAAGUGCAAAUUCUAGUUCUGGUUCUAGUGAACCAACUCAGAAUGAAGUUGGUUCACUGAAAAAUAGUUUCAAUAUAAGAGGGCCCCACUGUAGUAAGUGUUUGUAAAAUGAAGUGAUUACAGUGUAACACCAGUGUCUAAGGAAAAAGCCAGAUUUACCUACAGUAUAAUGUGUGGAAAUAUCAUGAAGCUAGAAUGACAAAUGUGAGAUUUGGAACAGUGUUAGCGACAUAAUUACAUUGGAACUUCCAUAUAAUAAUUAUUUGCAUUUAUUUCUACAGCGUUUUUUCAUCUGAGCUGCUCAAAGCCUUUUACAAAUGUUCAGGGGGGAAAUCCUCUUCUUAGCACCCACCCAGAGUAACUGGGCUGGGGACUGAUGAUCUUUGAGGGAGCAGAGAGGAGUAAUCCUCUCCCAGAGAACCUGCCCCGAGGCCCACUUCCCAGUCUCAGGAACAGAGUAGUCUCCACAGCUCUUGCAGCCCACUCCAGAUGUGUGUGGAGGUGGGGGAAGGAUUUGGUCAGUGACCCAACGAUCCUGUACCCAAGAAGCUGAGCACAGAAACACAGCCAGUCUACAUUGAACAGGGCUUUGACACACAGUUUCCAACCCACGUGAACUUCCAAAACCUGUUCAGCACAACUACAGGGUUCAACAGCAUCUGAGACUCUUCUGCCUGUGGAGAGAUGGCAGCUUUUGCCCUGAAUUAGUUAACCUUCCCAAUGCCCUUUUCUGACUAGUUGAUGGCUGGGGAAACUGAGGCACAAAUGAUUUCCCCAUGGUCAUACAGUGAGCAUAUGGUAGAAGACACUCGUUCCCUGACUCGUAUUUCUGAGCUUUUAUCAGAAGACCAGCUUUCCCCCCACUGCACCUGUGUUAGUGAUGCCACAGGCUUUUUAGGUGGAGCUUUCUUCCCCUUACUUUCAUGUUUUCCACUAGUGCAUGGCUUAUGUAACAUCUUCAGUCUUUCUCUCACCCUCAUUGAGUGGCUGAGAUUGAGGAAUCUACUUUUCUGGCAUUCCUCUACUGCUUGUGGUGUUCUCAUCUCACCAUUACUUUAACAGCCCAAUCCUACAGCCAUAGCUUGGGCAAAACUGCCAUAUAAUUCAAUGUGUGGUUUGUCUAUAUUAGGAUUGCACACUCAGGCCUUUCAUAUAGUCUUGGUAAUGAUGGGGUUUGAUAUCUCUUUGAAAUAAGCACCACAUUUACUUAUCUAAUAAAAUAUGCUCAGCUGCUUCCAUUUCAUGCAUCACAUACUUUUAUUUUCACAUCCAAAGCACAACAAGAUUAUUAGUUGUACCUGAGCUGCCAUAAUAAGCCAGUGACAUUGAUUGAAGGACUUUACGUUAAUUACAUGCUCAAUUGAUAACAGUCACAAUACAUAGUGAUGAGAGACUAGUAUAGUGUAGUAAUUACAUCUGAUGUUAUGUACAAGUACUUGUACUGUUCCAGUGCAAUAUUUCUCUUGUUCUGUAAGUAGGAUUCUGAAAAUUCAAUGGAACAUAGGCUCCUCAGUCACUUGGAGAUGAAUUUUUAAAUGUAUUUAGGCACUUAAAGAUGCCGAUAGGCACUUAGUGGGAUUUUCAAAAGCUCCUAGCCCCAACUCCCACUGAGAGCUCAGCCCUGCACAACUCCCAAUGGGAGUUAGGGGUUUAGGCGUUUUGAAAUUCCCAUUAGGUGCCUAUCUGCAUCUGUAGGUGCCGAAAUAAAUACUUUUUAAAAUCUGGCCUUUAGACACUUGUGAAUACCCUGAGAGACAUGGAGCACCUGCAGCUCCCACUGGCUCAGAGAAGUACAGGGGCUACUUAGUGUGUCUUUCUCUUGAUGCAAACAUCCCAAUUGGAACAGGUAGCAGGUAGGGUUCUGUGCUGGCCCAGGGAAUGGACUGGCUGCAUUUAAUGGAUCAUGUUGCACUGUCCUUGCAGAUGAUGUAGCUUGCAUAGCCCCAUAUUCACUGUUAAGGGAGGGAAUUAUAGCUCCUGUAGACAUGUGGGGCUGUACAGUUCCACAUUGUCCGCUACUCAGCCCAGUGAAUAAAUGGCACAAUUUGACCAUCAGCUUGAAGCAGGAGAUUGGAAGAUUCUAGCUGCCAUUUCAAGGUGAAGAGAAUGCUAAGUGGGAGGGACAGGCAUACCUAUGGUAUUGCAUGUGUAAAAUCGCUCUUAUACUGAAUCAGUUUUUUUGUUGUUCUUAUAGUUUUAUUUCUUGUGGACCAGCAACAAAAUAACACGUCUUUCUUCUAUGCCUCUGGGCCUGUGAAUGUUUUUGAGCUCUCAUGUAAGAUCAGCCCUUGUGCAGGGGAAAUGAAUGUCCACGUGCAAUUACCUUUAAUUUUUGGACUUUCUAAUGCCAAUGCACGUAAACUCAGGCCCUAAGUGAGAUGGCAAAGUGAUACUAUGUUGGCAUGUUUUAUAUGACUUUUUAUUUUAACAGAUGUAGCUGUGUAUUAAAGUUCAAUACACUAUUGUACACUUCUGUUAGCAUGCAACCUAUCAUAUCCUAGGCCCUGUAUCUUUGUGUAAUUCAGGAAUCUGUUUUUCUGUGUAUCUGUUACCACCCAACACCCAUGUAAAAACUCUGCUGCAAGAUAAUGGCUCACCUACAUGACAAGGUGCUGAAAUUGGUCCUAAGAUGGAAAAAUGUGAAUAUUAUACUGAGGACUUUAUUACCAGUACUAUUUGUAAUGUAACCAACUUUUACAAGUCAAGGAAACGUACAGAUAAUAUGAUGGUUUUUAGUGUACUGCUGUAAAAUUUACAAUCAAAGAGCAAAGUGUGAAUGUAGCAUGAGUUUACUAAGAAAAAUAGAAAGUCAGAUAUCUUUUGUUGUGGUCCAAAGUACUGCCAGGUGAAACUUGGUCAUUAAGCCUCAACUGGGAUACUCAAACUGUUUCUGUUCUGUCUGCCUGGACCUGUAUAUGCCCUUGUGUAUGGAAUACCAGUAUGUACUUCUAGGGCUGCUGUAUUUUGUAUUCUGUAAUCUGACCUUUCACACACAAUGGAAUCUGAGUAAAUAGAUUUUUUUUAAAACGCUGGUGUGGUCUCUAUUAUUGAUCUCUCUGCAACCUUUGCAAUCAGACUUUGUAUAGACACAGACACCAACCCCUGCCUUCAAACAAACCACUCCACUUAAACAAAAACUCAGCAUAACCCACCAUAUUUUGACGGUUUCCAUCCAAAACCAUAAAUCAGCUCAGCUUCUCUUGAAACCCAGUUCAGACACAAAGGUUUAU